UCAGGAUGAACGCUGGCGGCGUGCUUAACACAUGCAAGUCGAACGGAGUUUUAACGGAAGUUUCGGAUGGAAGUUUAAGAACUUAGUGGCGGACGGGUGAGUAACGCGUGGGUAACCUGCCUCAGUACAGGGGGAUAACAGUUAGAAAUGACUGCUAACACCGCAUAAUAUAGUGAAACCGCAUGAUUUUUGCUAUCAAAUAUUUAUAGGUAUGAGAUGGGCCCGCGUCUGAUUAGCUAGUUGGUGGGGUAAAAGCCUACCAAGGCGACGAUCAGUAGCCGGCUUGAGAGAGUGACCGGCCACAUUGGGACUGAGACACGGCCCAAACUCCUACGGGAGGCAGCAGUGGGGAAUAUUGGACAAUGGGGGAAACCCUGAUCCAGCGACGCCCGCGUGAGUGAAGAAGUAUUUCGGUAUGUAAAGCUCUAUCAGCAGGGAAGAUAAUGACAGUACCUGACUAAGAAGCCCCGGCUAACUACGUGCCAGCAGCAGC
rnacentral:rRNA from 1 species